AAAGUACUCCCUCCGUCCCAAAAUUCGUGUCUUAGAUUUGUCUAGAUAUGAAUGUAUCAAGUCACAUUUUAGUAUUAGAUACAUCUGUAUCUAGACAAAUCUAAGACAAGAAAUUUGGGACAGAGGGAGUAGUUG
rnacentral:pre_miRNA from 1 species